rnacentral:rRNA from 1 species
CCUACGGGAGGCAGCAGUAGGGAAUCUUGCACAAUGGGCGAAAGCCUGAUGCAGCCAUGCCGCGUGAGUGAAGAAGGCUCUAGGGUUGUAAAACUCUUUCAGCGGGGAAGAUAAUGACGGUACCCGCAGAAGAAGCCCCGGCUAACUCCGUGCCAGCAGCCGCGGUAAUACGGAGGGGGCUAGCGUUGUUCGGAAUUACUGGGCGUAAAGCGCGCGUAGGCGGACUAGUAAGUCAGUGGUGAAAGCCCGGGGCUCAACCUCGGAACUGCCUUUGAUACUGCUAGUCUUGAGUUCGAGAGAGGUGAGUGGAAUUUCUAGUGUAGAGGUGAAAUUCGUAGAUAUUAGAAAGAACACCAGUGGCGAAGGCGGCUCACUGGCUCGAUACUGACGCUGAGGUGCGAAAGCGUGGGGAGCAAACAGGAUUAGAUACCCUUGUAGUC